rnacentral:rRNA from 1 species
GACAGAGGAGGCAAGCGUUAUCCGGCAUUAUGGGGCGUAAAGCGUCCGUAGGUGGUUUGGCAAGUCUGGGGUUAAAGCCCGGAGCCUAACUCCGGAUCGGCCUGGAAACUGCCAGACUAGAGUAAGGUAGGGGUUGCGGGAAUUCCCGGUGUAGCGGUGAAAUGCGUAGAUAUCGGGAAGAACACCAGUGGCGAAAGCGCGCAACUGGGCCAUUACUGACACUGAGGGACGAAAGCUAGGGGAGCGAAGGGG